UACGAACCGUCCAAACGUUAUUCGGAAUCACUGGGCUUAAAGGGUGCGUAGGCGGCUUGGUAAGUUGGGUGUGAAAUACCUCGGCUCAACCGAGGAAUUGCGCUCAAAACUGUCAAGCUCGAGGGAGACAGAGGUAAGCGGAACUUAGGGUGGAGCGGUGAAAUGCGUUGAUAUCCUAAGGAACACCGGUGGCGAAAGCGGCUUACUGGGUCUCUUCUAACGCUGAGGCACGAAAGCUAGGGGAGCGAACGGG
rnacentral:rRNA from 1 species